UGCCAGACUCCUACGGGAGGCAGCAGUGGGGAAUAUUGCACAAUGGGGGGAACCCUGAUGCAGCAAUGCCGCGUGGGUGAAGAAGCACUCCGGUGCGUAAAGCCCUGUCAGCAGGGAAGAAAAUGACAGUACCUGGACAAGAAGCCCCGGCUAACUACGUGCCAGCAGCCGCGGUAAUACGUAGGGGGCAAGCGUUAUCCGGAUUCACUGGGCGUAAAGGGAGCGCAGGCGGCAUGGCAAGUCUGAUGUGAAAACCCGGGGCCCAACCCCGGGAGUGCAUUGGAAACUGCCAGGCUGGAGUGUCGGAGGGGUAAGCGGAAUUCCUAGUGUAGCGGUGAAAUGCGUAGAUAUUAGGAGGAACACCAGUGGCGAAGGCGGCUUGCUGGACGAUGACUGACGUUGAGGCUCGAAAGCGUGGGGAGCAAACAGGAUUAGAUACCCUAGUAA
rnacentral:rRNA from 1 species